CCUACGGGAGGCAGCAGUGGGGAAUUUUGGACAAUGGGCGAAAGCCUGAUCCAGCCAUGCCGCGUGAGUGAAGAAGGCCUUCGGGUUGUAAAGCUCUUUUAGUCGGAAAGAAAGAGUUGCAAUGAAUAAUUGUGAUUUAUGACGGUACCGACAGAAAAAGCACCGGCUAACUACGUGCCAGCAGCCGCGGUAAUACGUAGGGUGCGAGCGUUAAUCGGAAUUACUGGGCGUAAAGGGUGCGCAGGCGGUCUUGCAAGUCAGAUGUGAAAGCCCCGGGCUUAGCCUGGGAAUUGCGUUUGAAACUACAAGGCUAGAGUGCAGCAGAGGGGAGUGGAAUUCCAUGUGUAGCAGUGAAAUGCGUAGAGAUGUGGAAGAACACCGAUGGCGAAGGCAGCUCCCUGGGUUGACACUGACGCUCAUGCACGAAAGCGUGGGGAGCAAACAGGAUUAGAUACCCUGGUAGUCCACGCCCUAAACGAUGUCAACUAGUUGUCGGAUCUAAUUAAGGAUUUGGUAACGUAGCUAACGCGUGAAGUUGACCGCCUGGGGAGUACGGUCGCAAGAUUAAAACUCAAAGGAAUUGACGG
rnacentral:rRNA from 1 species